AGGCGUACACACGUGCUACAAUGGUGGUACAAAGAGAUGCAAUCUCGCAAGAGCAAGCAAACCUCAAAAAGCCAUCCUCAGUUCGGAUUGGAGUCUGCAACUCGACUCCAUGAAGUCGGAAUCGCUAGUAAUCGCGGAUCAGCAUGCCGCCGUGAAUACGUUCCCGGGCCUU
rnacentral:rRNA from 1 species